rnacentral:rRNA from 1 species
UACGAAGGGUGCAAGCGUUGUUCGGAAUCAUUGGGCGUAAAGCGCGCGCAGGCGGAUCAGCAAGUCAGAUGUGAAAUCUCGGAGCUCAACUCCGAAACUGCGUCUGAAACUGCUAGUCUAGAAUGUCGGAGGGGGCAGGGGAAUUUCACGUGUAGGGGUAAAAUCCGUAGAGAUGUGAAGGAACACCGGAGGCGAAGGCGCCUGCCUGGACGACUAUUGACGCUGAGGCGCGGAAAAGCGUGGGGGAGCAAACAGG